UACUAAGGGUAAUGAGGUUCAGCUGUUCUGGCAGUGUUACCUUCACCCAGUCACGUGCUCAGAAGCUUUGUGAGUGCAUGUGGUUGCUUUUGGCUUAGUGUGAGAGUGCAGCCCAUGUGGAUGCCUUGGAGGCAAAGCAGCAGAAGUGGACUGAGAACCAGCUUGUUUUUUCCAGAGUAAGAGGGACUUGCCACAGAGUACCUGCAACACUGAGAGUGGAGUGGCUGAAUGAAGAAUAGGAAAUGUGAACGUUAAGCCAAGCUUGGAACUACAGCAGAGAAAUGAACCAUAUAACAAAGAUAAUACAAAUGAGAUCUCUAAGUCAUUGGCUGAUAAACACAGCUCCUAGUGCUAUGCUGACCUCCACAUUAACUUUCUGCUUAUGUUUCUUUACCUGUAACAGAGAGGGCCAGAACAGAGGAAGAAGACUAAGUCUCUUUUGUACCAAUCCAUUACAGUUUCACCUGUAUAUCUAAUGGGCUGCCAAUAGCACUGUUGAAAUGGUAUUUCAGAAAGGCAGAGGCACCUGCUAGAGCAAGGCUUUGACCUGUGUAUUUUCCAGUCCCCUGUACACAAGGAUAAUCUUUAAGAGACAGCCAAAUUUUGAUGAGUUGUGCAAUGCAUUAAAUAUGAAGAAAAGCUUUGCCAACUCUGAUGCCUGAGGCAUGGGUUACAUUAAACAUAUCAUCUUCACAAUGUGUUUAACUUCUACUUGUUAAUGCUAAUAAUUAAGUCACCCCAAUUUUUAGUACGAGCCUUGAGCUUAGUUUACCUGGAUUGUGAUCUAGUAUUGUUUCAGUCUUGGAACUGAAAUGCCCUAGCCCCAUUAGCUCUGGUAUUUGUCUUAUCACUAAAAGAAGCAACCAUCCUGGGUGGCCAUGAAUCUGGAUUUUGAUACUAUUUUAAGCCCAUAAAGUAGAAAAUAAGAAAACAUCACUCAAUGCAUAUUAGGAGUUUGGAUAGCCAAAGCAUGAAGAAAAAAUAUGUUGCAUCUCUGUCAAUACAAAUUUGAUUUGUCCUCAGAGAUUCUUUAGUUCUCUUUGUUUGGUUUUUUUUUCGAAUGAAAUACAGUCACCUUGGAUCCUGAAG